rnacentral:rRNA from 1 species
UACAGAGGUCUCAAGCGUUGUUCGGAUUCAUUGGGCGUAAAGGGUGUGUAGGUGGCGCCGUAAGUCGGGUGUGAAAUUUCGGAGCUUAACUCCGAAACUGCAUUCGAUACUGCGGUGCUUGAGGACUGGAGAGGAGACUGGAAUUCAUGGUGUAGCAGUGAAAUGCGUAGAGAUCAUGAGGAAGACCAGUGGCGAAGGCGGGUCUCUGGGCCUGUCCUGACGCUGAGGCGCGAAAGCUAGGGGAGCGAACAGG